GUGGGGAAUAUUGGGCAAUGGGCGAAAGCCUGACCCAGCAACGCCGCGUGAAGGAAGAAGGUUUUCGGAUCGUAAACUUCUAUCCUUGGUGAAGAUAAUGACGGUAGCCAAGAAGGAAGCCCCGGCUAACUACGUGCCAGCAGCCGCGGUAAUACGUAGGGGGCAAGCGUUGUCCGGAAUGAUUGGGCGUAAAGGGCGCGUAGGCGGCCCGGUAAGUCUGAAGUGAAAGUCCUGCUUUUAAGGUGGGAAUUGCUUUGGAUACUGUCGAGCUUGAGUGCAGGAGAGGUAAGCGGAAUUCCCGGUGUAGCGGUGAAAUGCGUAGAGAUCGGGAGGAACACCAGUGGCGAAGGCGGCUUACUGGACUGUAACUGACGCUGAGGCGCGAAAGUGUGGGGAGCAAACAGGAUUAGAUACCCUUGUAGUCC
rnacentral:rRNA from 1 species